GAGUGGGGGGCGACGCAGGGAACGACGGGAAAAACCCUUCUUCUUGCCUUAGCUCCUCAAACCACAAGCAAUUGAAUGAGUUUCUGGCCCUAAUUCGAAUGCAUGUCAGCGAAUUCUCAACUAUCUAAGAGUUCCCUACAUAGGGAAUCAUGUCAAAAUGGUUGAGAGCAUGGAAGGCUAACGGGCUAAGAAGACUCAAGUAAAACAAACGCAAAUACGGACGCACAAGGUAAAUCUAUUGCUUGAUGCGGCGCACCCGGACCGAGCACACACGACGUUGACCUUAAUACGCUUCCGGCUCAAGUUGUUUCUUUUUAAUGGGUCGAAACGUCCUUUUGUGUAGUAAAUGUUAAACUUUAUUUUGAAUAGUUUGGAUUUAAUAUUCUAGGUAAAUUGUGCAUGGUUUUUAAUUUAGCAUCGUUUGAAUAGUGUCAUAGAAUGUAUUUUGAAUGGUUUCGUUAAAAAGCAGGAAAAUGUUUACUUUUCGAAUGGGUCAUGUCUAGGGGUGUAAACAAGCCCAGAGGCUCGAGAGCUACUCGUGAUCGGCUCGGUUAAAAGCUCGAACGAGCCGAGCCUUAACGAGCCCGAGCCCGAGUUCGAGCCUGAAAUAGAGCUCGUUUUGUUAUCGAGCCCGAGCUCGAGCCUGAAAUACAAAGCUUGUUUAGGCUCGCGAGCCUAAACGAGCCUAUACAAAAUUUUAAUUUUUUUAUAUAUAAUAUAUUAAUAUUGAUGAUAACAUUGAUGAGCUGAGCUCGAGCCGAGCUUUGGCUUGUUUAAGCGAUGUUGAAUUGAGCUCGAGCUGAGCUUUUAGCUCGUUUAAGGUUGUUCUCAAAAUAGUUCGAGCCGAGUCGAGCCAAGCUCGAGCUUUGGGUUUUACUCGCGAGCCGAGCUCGAGCUCAAAGAAGUAGGCUCGAAUCGAGCCGAGCUCGAGCUCGAGCUUCAUAAAAACCAAACGAGCCGAGCUCGAGCCUGGUCGAGCUCGGGUUCGGCUCGGCUCGUUUACACCCCUAGUCAUGUCAAAAUUUUUCCAAAUGUUUGUAUGAGCUUUAUGUUAUUGUCAAAAGUAAAAGUGGGCGUUUCAUUCAAUUGUGUUCGUGAACGUUCGGUAAUGUGUUCGUGAACAUUUGAUCAUUUGCGUUCGAUUAUGUUAGUUCAUGUUUGUUUGUUUUUGUUUUAAUUUAAGAUUUUUGUACUAUCAUAUAUUUUAUGUAAACUCUGUAUAUUCUUUAAUUUUAUUUAUUUUAUUAC
rnacentral:lncRNA from 1 species